CAGCACUCUACUGAGGGUGACAUAGUGAGACUUUGUCUCACCAAAAAAAAAAAAAGAAUCUCCAACUGCAUGCAAGAACAAUAUGGAGAGACUUUGACAGCUUAGGUCAGUACAGUACCUGUAGCUGUCACUCACCUUUCCUAUAAUG
ensembl:snoRNA